UUCAAAGUUGUAAGAACAAUUGCCAGCUGUACUUGUAAUGUCAACAAUAAGCGUUAGUCCUGUCUAAUUUACACCGCUGAUAUAAUAGGGUUUGAUGCCCUGUUGCAAAUGCUUGAGCAGGUUUGCAAACACGCAGUCGCAUAAGUCAUCAAGGCUCACAAAAUGUGUGUGGGGGGUGAGGGAAUAAAUAUGCACAAGUGUGUAAUCAACAGAUCUUUUAUUCCAUUUUAAGCAAAAUUGCCACAAAAGGGUAAAAAGUGACAUUUUGGACUUAAUUGACUAAAUGGUUUGCAAUACCUCAAUGCAAUUUUACAAGUUUAUUUUUAGGUGGGAAAUAAAAGUUUCAAAAGAGUGAUAGAGAAAAUUCUAAAUCUCACCGAACAACGCUAAGGCAGCCCCAAAUGCGCUCUAAAUCGCUUAAAUAAUAGACAACUACAAAUACUACAUCAAGUUAGAUUGAAUUUAUUGCAUUUUUAUGGAAGAAUACUUGCAUAAAGUAGCAACUCCAUAUGUUCUCUCUAUUAACGGUCAAUGAGCCGGUCGGUUCAAAUUACUCAUUGACAGAGCCUGGGCUACUUGUGGUUCGUUUAGCGCCAGCUUACUUCUGGAUCUCAUGCACUCUCCAAUUUGGUAUGAAUUACUAUCAAUGACUUUAUACAGUUCCACAAGACCCAAGGUAGUAAGUGAGGUUGAUAAAUCGGUGAAGAGCAGAGGGACUAUUCGAGCAAAGGCCGCGAUUUGUCUAAGCACGUGGGAUCACCUCAACUGAGGGAGUGACUUAAGGCAUCUUGGGCAAUAAUGCAUCUGAUAGCAUGGAACCUCAAGACUUACAUCAAUUUCUUUCUGACGUUUUGUGGAUACCCAUGUGACUCCAUCCUCACAAACAAACUGCCAGGAAGUUUCUCUAAAUACAAUAAACAUGUGUCCAAAAUGCGAACAUGGUAUCAAGCCAUUCUAGGUAGUGCCGCUCAAUUCCAAGCUUCUGUGUAUAUUUGGCAGCAAAGAAGCGUACAUUAAAGUUGAUUAGUCCAUACGGCAUUCUACUGUCCAUUGGCAUUCUUGUGCUCCCUUAUGUUAAAACAUUGGGCCAGAUUUUUCUUUCGUUCUGAAAAGGAUAAAAACAGGUAGCGAACGAAGUCAAGAAGCGCAGAGGGAAAAAAAAUUGUGAAAAUGUACUAGUUCGCGAGGUGCCAUAAACAAAUAUGGCGCGAUGAACCAUGUAUGGAUGCUACGAUUGACAAGCUCGCGCAAUCUAAAAAUAGCUUUCAUGGACGGCAUCAUGAGCCACGGGGAUUUGUUCUCUUAUAUCAUGGUCUCUUGGUAAGAGUUAAUCACUAACUGAACACGGGAGAAAAGACUGUUGGUGAGCGCCAGACUCUGAGUUGGACCGGCUAUCAGCAGCCACUUCUUUGUAAAUCAUUCAAAUCUUUGUAAAUCAUCUACUUUUGGUGAUAUGUGUUGAUCCUUAAUCUAUGCACUAACCUUGGAACAAAAGUCCCACGUCUGCCAUGGGGAAAGUCACAAGAACUAAACAACGAAUAAGAACAUGAAAUACUAAAAGUAGGAUUUUCUACCCAUCCCUGGCUCGUGAGAAUCCUCUAUAUAUGGAAAGAUGUGUCAUUUGUACCGCUUGUAUUACCUACAAAGUCCCCUUUU